rnacentral:rRNA from 1 species
UUGAUCUGGGCUCAGAAUGGAACGCUGGGCGGCGUGCUUAACACAUGCAAGUCGAACGAGAAAUCUUUAGCUUGCUAGAGAAAGUAAAGUGGCGCACGGGUGAGUAACGCGUGGGUAAUCUGCCUCCGAAUCGGGGAUAACAUUGCGAAAGCGAUGCUAAUACCGGAUAAAAUCUGGUUGGCUUCGGUGAACCGGAUCAAAGGUGGUCUCUUUAUAAAAGCUACCGUUUGGAGAUGAGCUCGCGUACCAUUAGCUAGUUGGUGAGGUAAAGGCUCACCAAGGCGACGAUGGUUAGCUGGUCUGAGAGGAUGAUCAGCCACACCGGAACUGGAACACGGUCCGGACUCCUACGGGAGGCAGCAGUGAGGAAUUUUGCGCAAUGGGGGAAACCCUGACGCAGCAACGCCGCGUGAGUGAUGAAGGCUUUCGGGUCGUAAAGCUCUGUCAGGUGGGAAGAACCCACCAAGUGUUAAGACCACUUGGUGCUGACGGUACCACCGAAGGAAGCACCGGCUAACUCCGUGCCAGCAGCCGCGGUAAUACGGGGGGUGCGAGCGUUAUUCGGAAUCAUUGGGCGUAAAGGGCGCGCAGGCGGUUUUGUAAGUCAGAUGUGAAAUCCCGGGGCUUAACCCCGGAAGUGCAUAUGAAACUAUGAGACUUGAGUAUGGGAGAGGGAAGCGGAAUUCCUGGUGUAGCGGUGAAAUGCGUAGAUAUCAGGAGGAACACCGGUGGCGAAGGCGGCUUCCUGGACCAAUACUGACGCUGAGGCGCGAAGGCGUGGGGAGCGAACAGGAUUAGAUACCCUGGUAGUCCACGCAGUAAACGUUGAUCACUAGGUGUAGCGGGUAUUGACCCCUGCUGUGCCGGAGUUAACGCAUUAAGUGAUCCGNCUGGGGAGUACGAUCGCAAGAUUAAAACUCAAAGGAAUUGACGGGGGCCCGCACAAGCGGUGGAGCAUGUGGUUUAAUUCGACGCAACGCGAAGAACCUUUACUGGACUUGACAUCUCGGGAAUUCCGUUG